UUUUUGCGCCAUAUGGAAACCUUAUUUAGUGGUUUCACACUUUUUUUUCAGAAAAUGUAAAAAAAUUUUUAUAUAUAUUUCUUCAUAGUUUUAAAUACAAAAUGAGUCAUUUUACAGAGGAGAGAAUUAUUCUUUUAUUUUUAUAAAUGGGUUAAAUAGACAAAUAUGCAACAAAGGAGAUACAGACAAUCUAGGAUUCAUGGAUAUAGUCUGAAUUCUGAAUCAGGCCCUUCUACUUUUUACAAAUGUAGAGAAAAUUAGGAAGAAAAUCAUUAAACACAUGUGACUGCAGCAGAGAGUUGAAUGUACAUUGUAUAUUGCAUACUUGUAUACCACAUAUUUAUUUCAUACUGUACUGUUCAUAAAAAUAAGAAAGAAAAUAAAACAUUUAACUAGCUUAAUUUCUUUUUAGUCUCCCCUGCUCAGAACUGGACGGCCAAGCAAAUAAAAAGACAAUAAUUGUAAUGUGGUUUAGUUAGUAAGUUAUGAUCAAUAAACAAUCUUCUAAGUGGAGAUUAAAAACAAAAAGUUGUGUUUUUUUUUUUUUUUAAUUAAAACUUAAAUAACCAAGAAAGUUGGUAUAAUAUAUGGUGCUCAGUUUGAUUGACAUUGUGUUACAUAAUCUUUUUUGAUUUCUAUGGAUCUAUUAAAGUGAUUCAGAAGUUCUGCACUUUAAGUGGAAUUCCAAUUGGCUUUGUAGGUGUCAGUGAUUGAAAUAAGCAUCAUUGUUUUCACAAUCAGAUAGUGUAUGAUUACAUAAUUUCUUUUCACAUGUAAACAUGCAUGAUGUUGGCUUUGUCCCGGUGAAAACGCAACGGUUUUAAUGUGCAAUGCAUGUGAAUUGCAAUGCAAUACGACUGUAGUGUUAGUAUAGUUAAAAUAUUUUACAUUUUAUAAUGCACAGAAAAGGGAGUUUAUCUUAAAUGCAGGAUUACAUUUUCACUUUCACUUUUCCAUCUCAUGCCACUUCACACGCAACACUGACCCGGUUCUCUGCAGGAAAACAACACAAGUUCCUCCCUCCAGUCGAAAACACAUGUAGCACUUGCUUAACAGUGUAUAUCAUUACACUUGCUUCUGCUCUCACUAAAUGCAUGGGGAUUAUUAUUUGAUAGUUACUUCAAAUUUGGGCCUUGCAAGUCAUCAUAAUACCUCCCAACUAUGGUAAAUAUGUUCUUAUGUGCAUGGCUGCCAGUGGUUUUGGCACAGAUGAGCGAUCAAAACAAAGGUGGGGUUUUAUUUGGCCUUCUCGGGUGCCACAGGCUCCGUUUGCACUCCGGCAUCAGAAUGGCGUUUUUGGCCCUGUGAGACACACCAACGCAUAACGCAACAUUAGAGAUCCUAACUUAAAGUGUGUGUUUUUUACCACUCAUCCAUAAUGGUGCCUGAAGCAAAACCCUUUGCAACCCAUCUGACAACUGGGCCUUUAUCUGCUAAAGCAGAUCCUGCUCCAGUGCAGCUUUGGAGACUUUCUGUGCUUUAUUAUCUGUGAUAAUCUAGUUGUUUUGUCUGAGAAAACUGACUGGGAUGAUCCCGCUUGAAAUAACCAUAAUUGGGGACAAUUAUAUUUAUAUUACAUGACAAAAAGUAUAUUUUAUUUAUGAAGAAGUUGUACAUUGCAACAAAGAUUAGAAUUACAUAUUUAGAUAAUGAUAUUUCAUGCAAUAUUAUUAGAUUUCAUGCAAUAAAAAAAAAUACAUGCAAUAUAUUUGUACCUAAUUUAAUUAAAUAUUUUCACUUUUUUUUUUUUAAUCUGCAUUUAUUAAAAUACAAAUACACUGAUGUGGAAUUGAUUUAAUAAUCCAGAUAAGUUGGUAAUCAAUGCCAUCUAGUGUUCAUACACUGUAAAUGUUGAUUUUUGUAUUGUAAUUAGUGCUGAUUAAUCGCAUCCAAAAUAAAAGUUUUUGUUUACAUAAUAAAACACUUGUUUUGGAUGCAAUUAACCAUUUGACAGCACUUAUUGUAAUUCAUCGCCCUAAAAGAUCACGGUUUUAAGAUUAAUAGCCAGCAAUAUCAAAAUAAUCAGGAUGGUUAGACAUUGGACAGGAUUACAAAAUGUUUUUCGACAGCAUUUAACUGGAAAACUACAUACAGCUGAAGAGUUAAACUACACAGAUUGCAAAUGCUCACAGGUUUGUGUGGAAUCCCUAGCCCUGGAGAAUCUAUGGGUUUCUACUUAACCAGGUUUUUGAAGAACAGCUGGAGGGAGUUCCUCUUCUCUAGCUUGCGGGGCAUGUUUGGGGAGGCGUUAUCUGUGCUUUCAGCUGAUUUGUUGUCCGGGGCCACUUGCGGUGCGGGAGUGGCGGGUUUCACCUCCUCUUUGGCCUUCACGGCUGGAGCGGCUUCUGCCAUGGGAGGAGCAGCUGGAGUCUCCUUCUUGGGCUCUGAUGCCUUCUUGGGUUUGAACAUGCUUCCAAAAGUGGAUUUCUUCUCGAGUUUCUUCUCCUCUGGUUUUGGUGCUGGAGGUUCUUCAGGUUUGGCGGCGGCCUCGAGAGUGCUGCUCUUAGACGCGUCGACCUGAUGUGUCAGAGAAAGAUCAGAGAAGACUGUUUCAUAUAUACAAUAAAUGAAAAGAACAGUGAGAGGAUUGAAGAAGAUGGUCAGUCUAUCUAUUU
ensembl:lncRNA